GAAGGAGAAUUCAUUGGAUAAUGAAUGCAGUUACUGAACCGUCUUGUUUUUUUACCAGCUUGAUAAAUGGCGAAAUAAAUUAAUAUUUCGGUCAGGAAACCCUUGAUAACUGUAUUUGUGGUUAUUAUAACAAGAAGUGGAAUCAUACACACACACAGACACACACACAACAGAACAGAGAAGUCUGCGAACAACACCUACCCUCCGAGGAUUUUCUGAAGAUAGAGUCCUAGCCAGACAGAAAGAGAAAGAGAGAAUCAGAAAGUGGAAACAAAAGCGAAAGGCGGACACACAAAAGGAAAGUAAAAGCUAAAAAUGAGAAAUUCUGAAACUACUUGGUAGAGAGAGAAAGAAAAAGAGAGAAUAAACUCACCUUAACAGCUUUG